AUUCUGCCCAAGCGGGGAAGGAUGAGAAGCUUCGACCAAGGUUCGACUUGAGCGCCAGCGAGAGAGCGUUGCCGCAGGCAACGACCCGAAGGGCGAAGCGCGCAGCGCUGAGUAAUCCUUCCCCCACCAC
rnacentral:sRNA from 1 species